AGAGUUUGAUCCUGGCUCAGGACGAACGCUGGCGGCGUGCUUAACACAUGCAAGUCGAACGGUGAAGUCCCUUCGGGGGCGGAUCAGUGGCGAACGGGUGAGUAACACGUGGGCAAUCUGCCCCUCACUGUGGGAUAACUCCGGGAAACCGGGGCUAAUACCGCAUAUGAAGCCUGGCGGCAUCGCCGGGUUUGGAAAGUUUUUCGGUGAGGGAUGAGCCCGCGGCCUAUCAGCUUGUUGGUGAGGUAAUAGCUCACCAAGGCGACGACGGGUAGCCGGCCUGAGAGGGCGACCGGCCACACUGGGACUGAGACACGGCCCAGACUCCUACGGGAGGCAGCAGUGGGGAAUAUUGGGCAAUGGGCGAAAGCCUGACCCAGCGACGCCGCGUGCGGGAUGAAGGCCUUCGGG
rnacentral:rRNA from 1 species